AGAGAGAGACAUGCGCGCAUAUCAAUAAGCGGAGGAAAAGAAACUAACAAGGAUUCCCUUAGUAACGGCGAGUGAAGCGGGAAGAGCUCAAAUUUGAAAUCUUCAAGGUUUUACCUUGACGAACUGUAGUUUAAAGAAGUGUUUUCUGCUGAAGUUUUGGUAAAAGUUCUUUGGAAUAGGACAUCAUAGAGGGUGAGAAUCCCGUAUUUGACCAUUAUUUUCAGCUUUGUGAUACACUUUCAAAGAGUCGGAUUGUUUGGGAAUGCAGUCCAAAAUGGGUGGUAAAUUUCAUCUAAAGCUAAAUAUUGGCGAGAGACCGAUAGCGAACAAGUACCGUGAGGGAAAGAUGAAAAGAACUUUGAAAAGAGAGUUAAACAGUACGUGAAAUUGUCAAAAGGGAAGCGUUUGACACCAGUGUUGUUUUCUCGAAAAUCAAUUAAAAAUGGCUCGAUUUUGUAUUGUUGAGACCUUAAAAGCUCACUGUACAUUUUUCGUGUCUUUUUUAAUGCACUUUUCGUUUAACAAGUCAACAUCAGUUUCUUUUGUUGUAAAAGGGUCAUUGGAAGGUGGCUUUCUUUUCGGAGAAAGUGUUUAUAGCCUUUGGCCUCUGCAAUCGGAGAGACUGAGGUCUGCAGCGUAGACUCUUCGGGGUUAGAUACAUUUGUGCUAAGUUAUAGCCUUUUCAUAGACAACUUGUUGACUAUGAAUCAGUCAUUGUAGCUUACUCGCUUAUGCUAUUUUACCUACGCUUAGGAUGUUGAGUCGUAGAGCACGCA
rnacentral:rRNA from 1 species